rnacentral:rRNA from 1 species
UGGGGAAUUUUGGACAAUGGGGGAAACCCUGAUCCAGCCAUCCCGCGUGUGCGAUGAAGGCCUUCGGGUUGUAAAGCACUUUUGGCAGGAAAGAAACGUCAUGGGUUAAUACCCCGUGAAACUGACGGUACCUGCAGAAUAAGCACCGGCUAACUACGUGCCAGCAGCCGCGGUAAUACGUAGGGUGCAAGCGUUAAUCGGAAUUACUGGGCGUAAAGCGUGCGCAGGCGGUUCGGAAAGAAAGAUGUGAAAUCCCAGAGCUCAACUUUGGAACUGCAUUUUUAACUGCCGGGCUGGAGUGUGUCAGAGGGAGGUGGAAUUCCGCGUGUAGCAGUGAAAUGCGUAGAUAUGCGGAGGAACACCGAUGGCGAAGGCAGCCUCCUGGGAUAACACUGACGUUCAUGCACGAAAGCGUGGGAAGCAAACAGG